AUUGAACGCUGGCGGCAGGCCUAACACAUGCAAGUCGAGCGGAGCGGCGGACGGGUGAGUAAUGCCUAGGAAUCUGCCUGGUAGUGGGGGAUAACGUCCGGCAACGGGCGCUAAUACCUCAUACUAUCACAUGAGCCUAGGGCGGAUUAGCUCGUUGGUGGGGUAAAGGCCUACCAAGGCGACGAUCCGUAACUGGUCUGAGAGGAUGAUGAGUCACACUGGAACGUAGACACGUUCCAGACGCCUACGGGAGGCAGAAGUGGGGAAUAUUGGAAAAUGGGCGAAAGCCUGAUCCAGCCAUGCCGCGUGGUUGAAGAAGGUCUUCGGAUUGUAAAGCACUUUAAGUUGGGAGGCGUUACCAACAGAAUAAGCACCGGCUAACUUCGUGCCAGCCGCCGCGGUAAUAC
rnacentral:rRNA from 1 species